AGCAAUUGAUUUGAUUCGAUUUGUGUCUUCAUUGAAUCUGGAAGCCAAUGUUUGCCUUAUGAUGAUUCACGUAUUUGGUCAUUGAUGUUCUCUAUAGUUCAUGAAGAUUUGAUCAAGAUGACUUCCUCACAAUUAUCCAAAAAGAAGAAGGAUCAUGUAGCAUCAGCAUUACUACGUUUAUAACUUGAGGGUGGAGAGUCAAGGUUCGAUGGUGACUCAAGGCUCGAUGAAUGUCUUCAUUGAUUCUCCAUCGAUUCUCUAUUUUCUUCAGUUAUUAGAGACUAGAAGAAUAUUUAUAAGAGGAAUAUUUAGAAGAAUAUUGAAGAGAGGAACAGAGGUAUUAUAUUAGCAGCAAACUUCAGAAACGACCACGGAUGGAGUCGCCUCGCCUCAGCUCUCAGGAUACUUAAAUAUCACAGG